CGACAGUCUAGUUAAGCCCUCUUUUACUGUGAAACUGCGAAUGGCUCAUUAAAUCAGUUAUCGUUUAUUUGAUAGUACCCUACUACAUGGAUACCUGUGGUAAUUCUAGAGCUAAUACAUGCGCAAAACCCCGACUUCGGAAGGGGUGUAUUUAUUAGAUAAAAAACCAAUGCCCUUCGGGGCUCCUUGGUGAUUCAUAAUAACUUCACGAAUCGCAUGGCCUUGCGCCGGCGAUGGUUCAUUCAAAUUUCUGCCCUAUCAACUUUCGAUGGUAGGAUAGUGGCCUACCAUGGUGGCAACGGGUAACGGGGAAUUAGGGUUCGAUUCCGGAGAGGGAGCCUGAGAAACGGCUACCACAUCCAAGGAAGGCAGCAGGCGCGCAAAUUACCCAAUCCCGAUACGGGGAGGUAGUGACAAUAAAUACUGAUACAGGGCUCUUUUGGGUCUUGUAAUUGGAAUGAGAACAAUCUAAAUCCCUUAACGAGGAACAAUUGGAGGGCAAGUCUGGUGCCAGCAGCCGCGGUAAUUCCAGCUCCAAUAGCGUAUAUUAAAGUUGUUGCAGUUAAAAAGCUCGUAGUUGAACCUUGGGCCCGUCCUGCCGGUCCGCCUCACCGCGAGUACUGGUCCGGAUGGGCCUUUCUUUCUGGGGAAUCCCAUGGCCUUCACUGGCUGUGGUGGGGAACCAGGACUUUUACCUGUGAAAAAAUUAUAGUG
rnacentral:rRNA from 1 species